rnacentral:rRNA from 1 species
UGUCGUCAGCUCGUGUCGUGAGAUGUUGGGUUAAGUCCCGCAACGAGCGCAACCCCUCGCAUUCAGUUGCCAUCGGGUAAUGCCGGGCACUCUGGAAGGACUGCCAUCGACAAGAUGGAGGAAGGUGGGGGAUGACGUCAAGUCAUCAUGGCCCUUAUGUCCAGGGCGACACACGUGCUACAAUGGCCGGCACAACGGGAAGCGAGUUCGCGAGGACAAGCGGAUCCCUUAAAGCCGGUCGCAGUUCGGAUUGAAGUCUGCAACUCGACUUCAUGAAGCUGGAAUCGCUAGUAAUCGUGGAUCAGCCAAGCCGCGGUGAAUACGUUCCCGGGCCUU